UGGGGAAUAUUGGACAAUGGGCGCAAGCCUGAUCCAGCAAUGCCGCGUGGGUGAAGAAGGCCUUCGGGUUGUAAAGCCCUUUUGUACGGGAAGAAAUCCUGUCGGUUAAUACCCGGCGGGGAUGACGGUACCGUAAGAAUAAGCACCGGCUAACUUCGGGCCAGCAGCCGCGGUAAUACGAAGGGUGCAAGCGUUAAUCGGAAUUACUGGGCGUAAAGCGUGCGUAGGUGGUGGUUUAAGUCUGCUGUGAAAGCCCUGGGCUCAACCUGGGAAUUGCAGUGGAUACUGGAUCACUAGAGUGUGGUAGAGGGAUGCGGAAUUUCUGGUGUAGCAGUGAAAUGCGUAGAGAUCAGAAGGAACAUCCGUGGCGAAGGCGGCAUCCUGGGCCAACACUGACACUGAGGCACGAAAGCGUGGGGAGCAAA
rnacentral:rRNA from 1 species